rnacentral:rRNA from 1 species
AUUGAACGCUAGCGGGAUGCCUUACACAUGCAAGUCGAACGGAGUGGCGAACGGGUGAGUGAUGUAUCGGAACGUGCCCCGUCGCGGGGGAUGACUACGCGAACGCGUAGCUAAUGCCGCAAACUCUUGGAACGGGCGGUAUCGGAUUAGCUAGUUGGUGGGGUAACGGCUCACCAAGGCGACGAUCCCUAGCUGGUUUGAGAGGACGACCAGCCACACUGGAACUGAGACACGGCCCAGACUCCUACGGGAGGCAGCAGUGGGGAAUAUUGGACAAUGGGGGAAACCCUGAUCCAGCCAUCCCGCGUGUGCGAUGAAGGCCUUCGGGUUGUAAAGCACUUUUGGCAGGAAAGCGGUACCUGCAGAAUAAGCACCGGCUAACUACGUGCCAGCAGCCGCGGUAAUAC